rnacentral:rRNA from 1 species
GACGAACGCUGGCGGCGUGCUUAACACAUGCAAGUCGAACGGAAGGACCAUGAGUUUGUGGCGUGCUCGAGUGGCGAACGGGGGAGUAAAACGCGAGUAUCCUGCACUUGACUGUGGGAGAACUUCAGGGAACUGGGGCUAAUACCGGAUAGGAGCUCCUGCUGCGUGGGGGGCAAAGGAGAGUUUCGGCGGUUGGGGCUGGACUCGAGGCUUAUCCGCUGCUUGGUGGGGUAGUGGCUUACCAAGGCUUCGAAGGGUAGCCUGCCUGAGAGGGUGACCGGCCACAUUGGGACUGAGAUACGGCCCAGACUCCUACGGGAGGCAGCAGUGGGGAAUAUUGCACAAUGGGCGGACGCCUGAUGCAGCAACGCCGCGUGCGUGAUGACGGCCUUCGGGUUGUAAACCGCUUUCGCCUGUGACGAAGCGUGAGUGACGGUAAUGGGUAAAGAAGCACCGGCUAACUACGUG